rnacentral:snoRNA from 1 species
AAUCUAUAAUGUGGGCACUUCCUCAAUGGGUCCUUAAGUCUCUCCCAAGCUUCAUACAAACUCUCUUAAUCAUGUUGGGCAAAAGUCAUUAUCUUAUUGCAAAGCUU